GAUUAUCUAUAACAUUAAGGAUCUUCGCACUAGAAACUGGAGGGUUAGGUUGUUGCAUACUCUUCGGGAGGGGAACACUUGUGCAGAUUUCUUGGCCAAGUUUGGAGCUCGCAACCCUGAAGCUUAUUCUCCUAUGGCUGUUCCGCCGGAUGGAAUGAGUCUUCUCCUACUAGCUGAUGCUAGUGGGACUAUUUUUUCUAGAUAAUUUUCUUUUUGUCUUUUCCUUUUUUCUUCAUCUUGUA
rnacentral:lncRNA from 1 species